UCUUCUGCCUGCGCACGGGCACCACCGGCUGGGCCUUCUGGGUACCCGGCGCGGUUAGGUCGCGCUGGUUCCGUGGAACAGCGGCUGGUGAAGGACCCGUGGCGACCUCCAUGCCCAAUACCUCCAGGCCUAGAGAGGUAAGGGUGGAUCUGCAGAGACUGAGUAUGAAGAUUUCUGGCAUGUGACUCAGUCCUCAUUGCUCCUGGCUCCCCAUUCUGCCCUCUUUGGAAUCUGCUGGCCCUGAGAGAAAUGUUUUUUGCAUCUGCUCCUAAACCCACAUGGUACUGUGCAUAUAGUUUCUAAGAUGAAAAUAUUAAUAAUCUGCAGCUUGCAUUUUUUUCUCCACACAUUGUAACAUGGACCUCUUUCUAAGGUAAUCUAUAAUGUUAUCUUCUCUUUAAAGAAGUUUUAAAAACUGGGUGUUGGGCUUCCCUGGUGGCGCAGUGGUUGAGAGUCUGCCUGCCGAUGCAGGGGACACGGGU